rnacentral:rRNA from 1 species
AGAUUGAACGCUGGCGGCAUGCCUAACACAUGCAAGUCGAACGGGAGUAGCAAUACUCUAGUGGCGGACGGGUGAGGAAUACGUAGGAAUUUGCCCUUAAGUGGGGGAUAACCCGGGGAAACCCGGAUUAAUACCGCAUGACCUCGAAAGAGCAAAGUGGGGGAUCGCAAGACCUCACGCUUUUGGAGAAGCCUACGUCGGAUUAGCUAGUUGGUGAGGUAAUGGCUCACCAAGGCGACGAUCCGUAACUGGUCUGAGAGGAUGAUCAGUCACACCGGAACUGAGACACGGUCCGGACUCCGUACGGGAGCAGCAGUGGGAAUAUUGGACAAUGGG